AGAAAAUCCUGCUGUGAUCUGAUUGGCUGACUGUGUCUUGAUAAAGAGCACCUGUGGCCCUUACUAAUUAUGUUUCAGUCUCCUUUUGUUUGAACCAAAAGCUGUUGUUCAGACAUGGCUUGUGUGGAAUCGUUGCGUUAUAAACCAACAAUUACCAUCAAUGCCAUCUGUGAAAUGUCUACUCCUAUAUGUCAGCACAAAUAAACUGGGAAAAGUACUUGAUGACUGAAUGAGUUUUAAUGGACCCACCAUUCCAGUAGCAACAGCCAAAUCAGCCUAAAUUUCUACAUGGUCCUUCGAGCCGGAGAGGCAACUGGAAUGGAGACUGAGGAUGACUGUGUGAAACCUAAACGUUCAUCAAGGAUUGUAAAACCUCCAAGAUGGCACGAAGAUUAUAUGAUGACUCCGUUAAAUCCUUCAAUGCAUCCAGCUGGACAAUUGGCACACCAGCCAGAAGAUUUGAGCCAUUUGGUUGCAUCACAGGGAGCUUCCAUUACUGCUACUCAAAAUGAGGUGAAGUCUUUGUCUGAGGAGAUUAAACAAAUGAAAGGAAUGUUGUUGGAUGUGGGACACAUGAUGAAGGAUAUGCAAAGGAAAAGAAGUUCUUCAUUUUCUACUGGUUCUGAAUGCAGUUCUAUUCAAGCAUCCCCUGGUCAUAUCCCCAUACAAGCAAACCAGCAAGAUGAG